UGGGGUAAUUUUCCGCAAUGGGCGAAAGCCUGACGGAGCAAUGCCGCGUGGAGGUGGAAGGCCUACGGGUCGUCAACUUCUUUUCUCGGAGAAGAAACAAUGACGGUAUCUGAGGAAUAAGCAUCGGCUAACUCUGUGCCA
rnacentral:rRNA from 1 species